AUGGCGGCGCCCUGCCCUUGGUGGGUCCCCGGUGGGGGUCGUGCAGGCGGCCGGGCUUCGGGGACGGGUGUGUGUGCCCCCGAGGGGCCGGAGCCGGAGCGUGUGUUUCCAAGCCAAGGAGGAGUCGGUUUGGGAGAAGGCUGCGCGAGGGUGCCGCGGUGCGGUGCUGGUAACGGCUGCCUUCAGGUCACCUGGCAAGGGAUGAGAUCCUUCACAUCUUAUAAAACAGGGGGUCCUGGUGGAGGAGAGUGGCACAGAUUACUUGUAGCACCCCAGGAAAGGAUUCAGCUUCUUAGGCAUUGCUGCAGGCAGUACUCAGUUGGGUCAUGGCAAGCCCCCUGGCCACAUCUCCAGCAUCAGAGCACCACCAGUCAGGAGCAACACACCUUGACUGUAGCCCAGGUGCCUUUACCUUGUAUAGGAAAUGUAACCUUGAUCCAUAGAAGAUUGACAAGGUGUUAG
rnacentral:lncRNA from 1 species